rnacentral:rRNA from 1 species
CAUUACCGAGUGAGGGACCACAAGUCCCAACCUCCAACCCUUUGUGAACACAUCUUGUUGCUUCGGGGGCGACCCUGCCGUCCGCGGCAUUCCCCCCGGAGGUCAUCAAAACACUGCAUUCUUACGUCGGAGUAAAAAGUUAAUUUAAUAAAACUUUCAACAACGGAUCUCUUGGUUCUGGCAUCGAUGAAGAACGCAGCGAAAUGCGAUAAGUAAUGUGAAUUGCAGAAUUCAGUGAAUCAUCGAAUCUUUGAACGCACAUUGCGCCCCCUGGUAUUCCGGGGGGCAUGCCUGUUCGAGAGUCAUUUCACCACUCAAGCCUCGCUUGGUAUUGGGCGUCGCGGGUCUCCCGCGCGCCUCAAAUUCUCCGGCUGAGCGGUUCGUCUCCCAGCGUUGUGGCAACUAUUUCGCAGAGGAGUUCGAGUCGUCGCGGCCGUUAAAUCCAUCAAAGGUUGACCUCGGAUCAGGUAGGGAUACCC